rnacentral:rRNA from 1 species
GUAUGACGUCAUGGCGUUGCAAGCUAGAGGCUAGCAUGCGGACAUACUAGCGUAGAGGAGAUGAUCAGCCACACUGGCAUUCGGACUCGAUUCCGAUUCCGUACGGAGCAGCAAGUGGGCAAUCUGGCACAAUCGGCGCAGGCCUGAAUGCAGGCAUGCCUGGUGUGUGAAGCAGCAUACGGGUCGUACAGCACUUCAGUCGUGAGGCAUGCUCGUGUAGUCAAUAGCUGCAUCGUAGACGUCAGCGACAGACGAAGCACUGGCUAACUCCGUGCCAGCAGCGCGGUAAUACGGAGGGUGCUAGCAGAUAUCAGGAAUUACUGGGCGUAAGCGCAUGCAGGUGGUUUGUUAGUAGAUGUGAAAGGCCCGGGGCUCCAACCUGGGAAUUGCAUUGAACUGGCAGACUAGAGUACUGUAGAGGGGGGUAGAAUUUCAGGUGUAGCGGUGAAAUGCGUAGAGAUCUGAAGGAAUACCGGUGGCGAGGGCGGCCCCCCGGGACAGAUACUGACACUCAGAUGCGAAGCGUGGGGAGCAAACAGGAUAGAUACCCUGGUAGUCCACGCCGUAAACGAUGUCUACUUGGAGGUUGUGGCCCUGAGCCGUGGCUUUCGGAGCUAACGCGUUAAGUAGACCGCCUGGGGAGUACGGUCGCAAGAUUAAAACUCAAAUGAAUUGACGGGGGCCCGCACAAGCGGUGGAGCAUGUGGUUUAAUUCGAUGCAACGCGAAGAACCUUACCUACUCUUGACAUCCAGAGAACUUUCCAGAGAUGGAUUGGUGCCUUCGGGAACUCUGAGACAGGUGCUGCAUGGCGUCGUCAGCUCGUGUUGUGAAAUGUUGGGUUAAGUCCCGCAACGAGCGCAACCCUUAUCCUUGUUUGCCAGCGAGUAAUGUCGGGAACUCCAGGGAGACUGCCGGUGAUAAACCGGAGGAAGGUGGGGACGACGUCAAGUCAUCAUGGCCCUUACGAGUAGGGCUACACACGUGCUACAAUGGCGCAUACAGAGGGCGGCCAACUUGCGAAAGUGAGCGAAUCCCAAAAAAUGCGUCGUAGUCCGGAUUGGAGUCUGCAACUCGACUCCAUGAAGUCGGAAUCGCUUGUAAUCGUGGAUCAGA